UUUUGUCCAUCUCGCUUUACUUCAGUUGCCCAUGGAAACUCUUUUUUCUAAGAGUCAACGAACUGUCACGAUCGUUUUUUAAUAUCGUACUCUUUAUUUUUCUGAGUAGAUGUUUUCUGAGAUGAAUUUGAUGCAGAUGAUUUGCCAGCUUGAGCCAAUGUCGUCGAACAGCCUUUAAAAUUGGUUAGAUAUCUAUCCACUGUCCAUUGCAAUAGUAAAUUUUUUACUGUUUGUUUUGUGACAAUAUUUACGACAAUUCCUUUACAUGAAGUGCUUCGUAACGCCUUACGGUUAGUGGAACUGUGGGCGCACAUUUGAAAAACCACAUGCAUGAAAAUUACGAAAACGGCUUUUACUUGAAUCGAAAUCGAUGAAUAUAAAAGAUAUUUUAUUAAAUCAGUGACAGAGUUCAUUGUUUCGUUGUGAAUAUUUGUGUAAAUGAGAAUCCAGGUAA